rnacentral:ncRNA from 1 species
CGGGGGCACUGCAGCCUCCCCGUCAAAUGGAGCUCUCUCCAUGCAAGCGCUGC